GCAAGUCGCACUGUUUUGCAGACGAGUUUGUUAUUGCACACGCACACCCCUUUUCCCUGAUUCCCAACAUGUUUUGGUCAUUCACAUUAUCCCAGUUUUAAAACAUUCUCAAUAUUUAUUUAGAUAUUGCGAGGCAUUUUACAGAAAGAAGACGACAUUGAAUCCAGCAAAGACGAUAUUUCUCACGGGGCUGAUCUGGAUACAGAGUUCCAAUGCUGUGUUUGCGGGUGUCUUCUUAAACCUCCAGGGCAGAUAUUUCAGUGUCCAGAUGGUGAUCUGUUGUGUUCAGUGUGCAGAUCCAACCCAGAUAUAUCAGUUUGUCCAGAUUGCGGUAUCAGACUACAGGGCGAGACUAGUAGGAAUAAAGCCCUAGAGAAACUAGCUAUCAAAUAUUUUCAAAAUUGUACAUAAACAAAAACAAUAAACAUUGAUAAUAAUAU